GCCCCGGUCCAUGUACUCCACCAGGAUGGAGACGUGCAGCGCCCGCGCCAGCGCGAUGAUGUGGAUGUGGUCGCUCUCCUUGCACAUGGGCUCCACCUCCUGCAGACAGACAGAUGGACAGAGAGUGGUCAGUGUGGUCAGUGAGGUGUGAGGGACAUGGGGGACACCUCCUAGGGACGGACAGACAGUGGUCAGUGAGGUGUGAGGGACAGAGGGACAAUGGUCAGUGACAGCGGUCAGUGAGGUGUGGAUGUGGUCGCUCUCCUGGCACAUGGGCUCCACCUCCUGCAGGGGACAGACGGACAGACAGACAGGGGUCAGUGAUAAUGGUCAGUGAGGUGUGAGGGACAGAGGGACAGCCAUGAUGUGGAUGUGGUCGCUCUCCUUGCACACGGGCACAUGCCCAGGUGCCUCAGGUGCCCCAGACA
rnacentral:lncRNA from 1 species